rnacentral:misc_RNA from 1 species
AGUCGUAACAAGGUAUCCGUAGGUGAACCUGCGGAUGGAUCAUUAACAAAGGUCCUUCCCAACGUAUUGUGAACUUAUCAGAUUAACAGUCAGUGUGGUGGGGAAGAGUAAGGCUCGACUGCUCUUGAUUGAGUGGAAGGGUUGAGAACUGGAACCCCAUGCUGGCUGUACCACGUUUAACGUAACGCCUAAAUCUUUACUGAAGUACAUUUUGUGAAAACAAAAAACAACUUUUAGCAACGGAUCUCUUGGCUCUC